UCAAGAUGGGCCCCCAUCAUGCCCUGCUUAGUGUCCCAACCCAUUUCUCAGAGCCUGGGCCUCACAACUCUCUCAUCCAUCCAGGCCUGUCUGGAAGCCCCCUCUACUCCUCUCCUCUUACCAGCUCUUGUGAUCUCAGGCUGAGCUGUUUAGGAGAGUCUCUGCCCAUGGUUCUCUGCUAAUACAGCCCAUCAAUCAUGGGUGAAUGUGAGGGACAUGGUCAGAGAAGAGCAGGGAACAGCUGACCUUUCUAUGAUCCUUCAGGGAGCAGGAACAGGUUGUUAGGGAGAGGUCUGCCUUGGACAGUAUUUCAGUGUUUCUGGGCCUGUCUAAGAGGAGGUGGACCUUCUAGAAGAGCUGUCGCUACAGGUGUCCAACAGCAGCAACGCCUCCAUGUCUCUGGACGCACAAAGGUGUCCGGUGCUGCAGGUGGGACAGUACUCCACCCUGUCUCUGCCCCUAGCGCAGCUGUUCACUGACGGGUUUGCAGAUGAGUUCAGUCUGUUGGUGCAGCUGCGGAGCCCGCAGCGAGACGAGCGCAGCGUGCUCACCCUGCUAAGCUAUGACGGCCACAUCCUGUUGCAGUUGCGCGUCAGCGCAUACACAAUCACCUUCAUCGGCACGCAACAGCGCCACUAUGAGUGAGUCCGUCGGUCUGUGGAUUUCCCCAAAUGUCUUUGUGGCAAUUUUGCGUGUAGAGAUCU
rnacentral:lncRNA from 1 species